UCCCUGGAGAGCUAGUGGUUAGACCUUGGCGCUCUCACUGCCGCGGCCCGAGUUCGAUUCCCGGCCAGGGAA
rnacentral:tRNA from 1 species